rnacentral:lncRNA from 1 species
UUGGACAGCGGGACAUAUACGUCCCACUUAUUAUUCCACGCUCUCGGCGCCCUAGCUCUUUGAGAGAGCUCAUGCAAUCACAUACAAGCCACUAGCGCCAUCUAUUGAGUAUGCUAGAACAUUUUGUAUGCAAUUUCGUGGCGUUUCCACUAGGUGGAAGCACGCAACAAGGCAAGAAGCAGUUUUUGUUUUUUCACUUGCGCGUUGCAGUUUUUCGGUGUUUUUGUGAGGUUCUUUCAAGCAAGAAAAAAAUGUCUGAUAACAAGAAACGUCUCACUGCUGAAGAAGCACUUGAAUUAUUCUGGAGCUUGCCAGAGAACUCUAACAACAGUGAUGAUGAAGAGUUCGAAAGCAGUGAAGAUGAAGUUUGGGAUCUACCACCCGAUGAGUCCAGCGAGAACGAGAGUGAUGUUGAAAACGCUCCCCCCGCUUCGUCGAGCAUGCUGAAGAAAAGACGGCGUCCACCAUAUGCAG